rnacentral:rRNA from 1 species
AUCGAACGCUGGCGGCGUGCCUAACACAUGCAAGUCGAACGAGAAAGGGGCUUCGGCUCCGAGUAAAGUGGCGCACGGGAGAGUAACAAGUGGGUAACCUGCCUCUAAGAUUGGGAUAACUCGUCGAAAGAUGAGCUAAUACCGGAUAAGACCACAGUUCCCGCGGGAACAGGGGUCAAAGGUAGCCUCUGCUUGCAAACUAUCAAUUAGAGAUGGGCCUGCGCGCCAUUAGCUAGUUGGUAGGGUAACGGCCGACCAAGGCAAAGAUGGUUUGCUGGCCUGAGAGGAUGAUCAGCCACACUGGAACUGAGACACGGUCCAGACUCCUACGGGAGGCAGCAGGGGGGAAUGUUGCGCAAUGGGCGAAAGCUUGGCGCAGCAACGCGGCGGAAGUGAUGAAGUCCUUCGGGACGUAAAGCUCUGUCGGGAGGAACGAAUGCUACCAAGGUUAACAGCCUCGGGGGGUGACGGUACCUUCAAAGGAAGCACCGGCUAACUCUGUGCCAGCCGCCGCCGUAACAC